AAUUUAUUUUAUUUAUUUAUUUUGCCAGGGUAAAUUUAACAUGAGGUAAUGACUUAAAUGUACAUCUCAGAUGAUUAAAAAAAAUUAAAAAUAAAAUAGAUAUAAAUGUAACUUUGACUAUUUGACACCUCACGUGCAAAGCCCGCGAAAGAACCAGAGGUUAUAUAAGCUGCGGUCGUCACAUCACGCGCACAGCCGGACUCUGAGUGGACAUCGCCUGACGGGAGAGCUUUCACGAGAUUGUCAUCCGAUUGAUGGAAGUGAUCAGUCUAGCAGUCAUCCUGCAUCUUGGAUUUAUUCAGUUUGUACAGACAUAUGCAUUAUCUUAUAUUGAGUGAUGCUUUUUCUUUUUCUCCCUUUUGUUUCUGUGUCAGUAGCUGCUGCACCCUAAAGCCUCCACAGCACUUGUCACAAGUCUUUGGCUUUAUUUGUCAAGAUCAUCUGAAAAGAGUUCACCUAUGCCAUUGAGCUGGAUGGAAAAACUGAGAAGUUUAUAAACAGAAGGCAUGGAAGAAGAGAGCAGGUCCUACAACAAAGAAAUUCUUCUUAAGGUAUGCUCCAAAUUUACCAUUUACCAUUGAGUUCACUGAGAUCUUACUAACUAUGUUUCAAUAUGUGUCCCCUCUUUAUCUCUUUCCUUUUUUCUGUCCAUCUUUUAGGAUAAACCUGAGGUCCUGGGAGAUCUUAGAGGUUCUAAUAUGUUUUUU